rnacentral:tRNA from 1 species
GUGGGUGUAGCUCAUUGAUAGGGUGCGUGCUUAGCAAGCACUAGGUCCUGGGUUCAAUCCCCAGUACUGCCA